AAGUGAACAAAAUGUCUGUCACUUCGUACAUAAAAUAAGAAAACUGUGAUUUCGAUAAUAAAAUUCUAAAGCAUCGACGUAACUAAUACUAAUUUAUAAAAGUGUGUUAGUAUAUUAUUUCGUAACUGCCUGCACUCUGCGAUUUAAAGAUUGGAUUCUGCUACCAAGAACUUGAAAUUAUAUCAUGAUAUUAUUCCGACUUUUUGUUAUUUAUGAAGUCAUUACUAAGUCAUCAUUUUAGAACGUUUUUUUUAAGUUUGGUAUGUUGCACAAAUCCACCGCUGACAGUUCUAACGCUCAACCGUCGCACACGUCUCGUCAAUCCUCAUAGAUGGGAGCAUCGAAACCGUGACGAAUUACCAUUGACGUUGUUUUAUGGGGAAAUUGGAAUUGACACUCAAUAGUAUUGGUAGGGGUGGCGGAAUUGCAUACGUCAAUCUUCGUCAGUAUUAAGCGGACCUUUUAGUGAUUUGCGAGAGAAUCGAGGAAACAUAUGACAGUUCCGGUAUUUGCAAUCUCCAUAAGGAACCCAAAAAAGAGUUAUGAAAACCCUUUCGCUACUUUUCACAAAUGUACGUCCAUAUUGGUAAAAUUAGUCACCGGCCUUUAGCUGCCGCGGGGAAAUAAAAAAAAUAUUUACUUAAAGUCAGUAAUACGUAAUGUCAAAGUUCAUUUAAUAAACCCUUCAAUUCCCACCAGUAUUUUUUUCAAGGUACAAACAAGUAUAUCCCUUGAGGAUCCAUCAACCAUAUGACAAAUAAGAAUUCUUAAUAAGCUUAGAUCGAAAUGGCGAUAACCCACAUUGAGUAUUUAACGAGAUAAUAAUAUACUACAGUCGGAGGCUUUUGUAUUUAAUAACGGAAACCUCAUUAUUUGAAUUAAGUUUACGAGGAAUUUCGCCUGUUAGUCUGAAGGUAUUCUUGGGGGAAUUGUAUUUUUUAAAGUAGAAAAUUUCCUCUAUUUUGCGAUUUUGAUUGCCAACCUGUAAGCUGCCGUGUCUUGUGGACAAUAACAAUGUCGAGGGGACGGACACCCAAGAUUUUUAAUGUAUACAGAAAAAGAGACUUAUUAUGUGGUCAUACUGUGAGACCCGAUGAUAAUUUUCAUGGAUAUCAGAGUACCUUUACCAGAAGAAAAGAGAGACAGAUGAUUCUAGUUAAUUCGGACACGAUCAAUUAAAGAUCAAGACAAUAAUAA